AUUCCAGCUCCAAUAGCGUAUAUUAAAGUUGUUGCGGUUAAAAAGCUCGUAGUUGGAUUUCUGCUGAGGACGACUGGUCCGCCCCCUGGGUGAGCAUCUGGUUCGGCCUGGGCAUCUUCUUGGGGAACGUAUCUGCACUUGAUUGUGUGGUGCGGUAUCCAGGACUUUUACUUUGAGGAAAUUAGAGUGUUUCAAGCAGGCCCGCGCCUUGAAUACAUUAGCAUGGAAUAAUAAGAUAGGACCUCGGUUCUAUUUUGUUGGUUUCUAGGACCGAAGUAAUGAUUAAUAGGGACAGUUGGGGGCACUCAUAUUCCAUUGUCAGAGGUGAAAUUCUUGGAUUAACGGAAGAUGAACUUCUGCGAAAGCAUCUGCCAAGGAUGUUUUCAUCA
rnacentral:rRNA from 1 species